CUUAGGGUAUGGCUGCACUUGCACCUGUACCGCGCUGGGAAUUAAAGUUGUCUUUGUACAGCUGUGUAGGGAAAGCGCUGCAGUGUGGCCACACUGAUAGC